ensembl:lncRNA
CAUUGCUUCGGAAAGCUUUGCUCGGGGAUAUUAUCAUACCAUUUAUCUUCUCAGGCGCCCUUACAGUAUUCGCACAGAGAAGGCCCACGAUGUACACGAUGUCUUACGCCAUUGUAGUGAACAUCAUCAGCUCCUGUAUCGCAGGGCUCGGUCUGCUCCUACUAACAGUUGAGCUUAGUGUGGCUAUCUUUUUAACAGAAACAUCCAUGUGGCAAAUGAGAAGUGCUAAAAUGCUCUCAGAAUAUGUGUUCCUGUUCACCGCUUUGGAGCUGUUUGUGACCUGUGUAGCAAUCCAAUGGGCAUACAAAGCAAAAAAGUCAAACCUAAAUACAUAGUUCAUGGCAGAAGGAAAUCCUUUUCCUACACAUUAAAGAGCCAUCGUGACCUCAGUCAAGAAGGAAAGUUUAGUGGUGAAUAAAGAACUUCUUUUGUUCAAGAGGCUUCCUGGA